rnacentral:tRNA from 1 species
AGGCACGUAGCUCAGGGGGAGAGCGCUACCUUGACGCGGUAGAGGCCGGCGGUUCGAAACCGCCCGUGCCUACUA